GUAGGGAAUAUUGGGCAAUGGAUACAAGUCUGACCCAGCCAUGCCGCGUGUGUGAAGAAGGUCUUCGGAUUGUAAAGCACUUUAAGUUGGGAGGAAGGGCAGUAAGUUAAUACCUUGCUGUUUUGACGUUACCGACAGAAUAAGCACCGGCUAACUUCGUGCCAGCAGCCGCGGUAAUACGAAGGGUGCAAGCGUUAAUCGGAAUUACUGGGCGUAAAGCGCGCGUAGGUGGUUCAGCAAGUUGAAGGUGAAAUCCCCGGGCUCAACCUGGGAACUGCCUCCAAAACUACUGAGCUAGAGUACGGUAGAGGGUAGUGGAAUUUCCUGUGUAGCGGUGAAAUGCGUAGAUAUAGGAAGGAACACCAGUGGCGAAGGCGACUACCUGGACUGAUACUGACACUGAGGUGCGAAAGCGUGGGGAGCAAACAGGAUUAGAAACCCUGGUAGUCC
rnacentral:rRNA from 1 species